GGCUGGAAUGGGGGGUGGGGUGGCAGGUAGAGCCCCCUCCCCCACCCAGUGGCGGAACCUGGAGGGGCUGGACAGGUGAAGGGUUGACUGAGAAGGAAGUCUGAUCCUGGACCUCUAGGCCGGAGGGCAGGGACGUUCCUCAACAGAGCCUCCCACAGCUUGGACAGACUCAAAGGAGGACACCAAGUAAAGAGAAGCAAAGUGAUUCGCCUAAUGCCGCACGGCAAGUUAAGCGGCUGGGCCUGAACCCCAGGUCUGUGACCUCAGAGCCCAUAGGCUGGCCUGGAGGCAGUGGCCCUGCCCUUAACUCCCUGCCGGCCACCCCUCAGCUUCAGCUUGGCUCCUGUAGAAGUGGACCCGCUCUGUGCCUAGCAUCCCCUGGAAGCAGUUGGCACCAGUCCUCUAUCUCCUUAACAGUGACCACAGCUAACAUUCAGCCAAGGGGAACUCUGGGUGAGGGACAAAACCCAGCUCAGGCACCUGCCUCCUACCAACGGGAUCAGUGCUGCCUCCCCAGCACCCUAUUCCAAGCACCAAAAAGCCUGCUCCACCCCAGGCAUCCUGCCCAGCUCUUGGGACUUGGACGUUGCUCCCGCCACUCGGAGGCUGAUCACCCGACAGGCAUUAUUUCCUGGUUCCAGACCCAGGCAUGGCCCCACUGGUUCCAGGGGCCCCUAAAAUAAACUCCUUCUACUCCUUCUCCCGGUCA